rnacentral:tRNA from 1 species
UUAACUGAAACCAAAAAGAGGUAUAUUAUUGUUAAUAAUAAAAAUGAAUACAUAAUUCCAGUUAAA